rnacentral:rRNA from 1 species
GAUGAACGCUGGCGGCGUGCCUAAUACAUGCAAGUCGAGCGAACAGACGAGGAGCUUGCUCCUCUGACGUUAGCGGCGGACGGGUGAGUAACACGUGGAUAACCUACCUAUAAGACUGGGAUAACUUCGGGAAACCGGAGCUAAUACCGGAUAAUAUAUUGAACCGCAUGGUUCAUUAGUGAAAGACGGUUUUGCUGUCACUUAUAGAUGGAUCCGCGCCGCAUUAGCUAGUUGGUAAGGUAACGGCUUACCAAGGCAACGAUGCGUAGCCGACCUGAGAGGGUGAUCGGCGACACUGGAACUGAGACACGGUCAAGACUCCUACGGGAGGCCGCAGUAGGGAAUCUUCCGCAAUGGGGGAAAGCUUGACGGAGCAACGCCGCGUGAGUGAUGAAGGUCUUCGGAUCGUAAAGCUCUGUUAUUAGGGAAGAACAAAUGUGUAAGUAACUAUGCACGUCUUGACGGUACCUAAUCAGAAAGCCACGGCUAACUACGUG